AAAUUGAAGAGUUUGAUCAUGGCUCAGAUUGAACGCUGGCGGCAGGCCUAACACAUGCAAGUCGAGCGGAAACGAGUUAUCUGAACCUUCGGGGAACGAUAACGGCGUCGAGCGGCGGACGGGUGAGUAAUGCCUAGGAAAUUGCCCUGAUGUGGGGGAUAACCAUUGGAAACGAUGGCUAAUACCGCAUGAUGCCUACGGGCCAAAGAGGGGGACCUUCGGGCCUCUCGCGUCAGGAUAUGCCUAGGUGGGAUUAGCUAGUUGGUGAGGUAAGGGCUUACCAAGGCGACGAUCCCUAGCUGGUCUGAGAGGAUGAUCAGCCACACUGGAACUGAGACACGGUCCAGACUCCUACGGGAGGCAGCAGUGGGGAAUAUUGCACAAUGGGCGCAAGCCUGAUGCAGCCAUGCCGCGUGUGUGAAGAAGGCCUUCGGGUUGUAAAGCACUUUCAGUCGUGAGGAAGGUAGUGUAGUUAAUAGCUGCAUUAUUUGACGUUAGCGACAGAAGAAGCACCGGCUAACUCCGUGCCAGCAGCCGCGGUAAUACGGAGGGUGCGAGCGUUAAUCGGAAUUACUGGGCGUAAAGCGCAUGCAGGUGGUUUGUUAAGUCAGAUGUGAAAGCCCGGGGCUCAACCUCGGAAUAGCAUUUGAAACUGGCAGACUAGAGUACUGUAGAGGGGGGUAGAAUUUCAGGUGUAGCGGUGAAAUGCGUAGAGAUCUGAAGGAAUACCGGUGGCGAAGGCGGCCCCCUGGACAGAUACUGACACUCAGAUGCGAAAGCGUGGGGAGCAAACAGGAUUAGAUACCCUGGUAGUCCACGCCGUAAACGAUGUCUACUUGGAGGUUGUGGCCUUGAGCCGUGGCUUUCGGAGCUAACGCGUUAAGUAGACCGCCUGGGGAGUACGGUCGCAAGAUUAAAACUCAAAUGAAUUGACGGGGGCCCGCACAAGCGGUGGAGCAUGUGGUUUAAUUCGAUGCAACGCGAAGAACCUUACCUACUCUUGACAUCCAGAGAACUUUCCAGAGAUGGAUUGGUGCCUUCGGGAACUCUGAGACAGGUGCUGCAUGGCUGUCGUCAGCUCGUGUUGUGAAAUGUUGGGUUAAGUCCCGCAACGAGCGCAACCCUUAUCCUUGUUUGCCAGCGAGUAAUGUCGGGAACUCCAGGGAGACUGCCGGUGAUAAACCGGAGGAAGGUGGGGACGACGUCAAGUCAUCAUGGCCCUUACGAGUAGGGCUACACACGUGCUACAAUGGCGCAUACAGAGGGCGGCCAACUUGCGAAAGUGAGCGAAUCCCAAAAAGUGCGUCGUAGUCCGGAUUGGAGUCUGCAACUCGACUCCAUGAAGUCGGAAUCGCUAGUAAUCGUGGAUCAGAAUGCCACGGUGAAUACGUUCCCGGGCCUUGUACACACCGCCCGUCACACCAUGGGAGUGGGCUGCAAAAGAAGUAGGUAGUUUAACCUUCGGGGGGACGCUUACCACUUUGUGGUUCAUGACUGGGGUGAAGUCGUAACAAGGUAGCGCUAGGGGAACCUGGCGCUGGAUCACCUCCUUAAACGAUGAU
rnacentral:rRNA from 1 species